ACUGAACGCUGGCGGCAGGCCUAACACAUGCAAGUCGAGCGAGCGGCGGACGGGUGAGUAACGAAUGGGGACCGCCAGAUAGAGGGGGAUAACUAAUGGAAACGGUGGCUAAUACCGCAUACUAUCGGAUAACCCAUAUGGGAUUAGCUAGUAGGUGGGGUAAAGGCUCACCUAGGGGACGAUCUCUAGCUGGUCUGAGAGGAUGAUCGGCCACACGGGGCCUGAGACACGGCCCAGACUCCUACGGAGGCAGCAGUGGGGAAUAUUGCACAAUGUGCGCAAGCCUGAUGCAGCCAUGCCGCGUGGAUGAUGAAGGCCUUCGGGUUGUAAAGUUCUUUCGGUAGCAUGGCGUUAACUACAGAUGAAGCACCGGCUAAGGCCGUGCCAGCCGCCGCGGUAAUAC
rnacentral:rRNA from 1 species